rnacentral:rRNA from 1 species
GCAAGUCGAACGGACUUAACUCAUUCUUUUAGUUUGAGAGCGGUUAGUGGCGGACUGGUGAGUAACACGUAAGCAACCUGCCUAUCAGAGGGGAAUAACAGUGAGAAAUCAUUGCUAAUACCGCAUAUGCUAACAGUAUCGCAUGAUACAGUUAGGAAAGGAGCAAUCCGCUGAUAGAUGGGCUUGCGUCUGAUUAGUUAGUUGGUGGGGUAACGGCCUACCAAGACUACGAUCAGUAGCCGGACUGAGAGGUUGAACGGCCACAUUGGGACUGAGAUACGGCCCAGACUCCUACGGGAGGCAGCAGCCGGGAAUAUUGCGCAAUGGAGGAAACUCUGACGCAGUGACGCCGCGUAUAGGAAGAAGGUUUUCGGAUUGUAAACUAUUGUCGUUAGGGAAGAUAAAAGACUGUACCUAAGGAGGAAGCCCCGGCUAACUAUGUGCCAGCAGCCGCGGUAAUACAUAGGGGGCAAGCGUUAUCCGGAAUUAUUGGGUGUAAAGGGUGCGUAGACGGAAGAACAAGUUGGUUGUGAAAUCCCUCGGCUCAACUGAGGAACUGCAACCAAAACUAUUCUCCUUGAGUGUCGGAGAGGAAAGUGGAAUUCCUAGUGUAGCGGUGAAAUGCGUAGAUAUUAGGAGGAACACCAGUGGCGAAGGCGACUUUCUGGACGAUAACUGACGUUGAGGCACGAAAGUGCGGGGAGCAAACAGGAUUAGAUACCUUGGUAGUCCACACUGUAAACGAUGGAUAAUAGGUUUAGGGUGUGG